UACGAAGGGGGCUAGCGUUGCUCGGAAUCACUGGGCGUAAAGGGCGCGUAGGCGGAUCUUUAAGUCGGGGGUGAAAGCCCAGGGCUCAACCCUGGAAUUGCCUUCGAUACUGAAGAUCUCGAGACCGGAAGAGGUAAGUGGAACUGCGAGUGUAGAGGUGAAAUUCGUAGAUAUUCGCAAGAAAACCAGUGGCGAAGGCGGCUUACUGGUCCGGUUCUGACGCUGAGGCGCGAAAGCGUGGGGAGCAAACAGG
rnacentral:rRNA from 1 species